rnacentral:tRNA from 1 species
CAGGAAAUAGUUUAAUAAAAAUAAUAAUUUUGGAGAUUAUUGAUAAUAAUUAUUUAUUUUUUCUGA